AUUGAACGCUGGCGGCAGGCCUAACACAUGCAAGUCGAACGAGUGGCGGACGGGUGAGUAAUGUCUGGGAAACUGCCUGAUGGAGGGGGAUAACUACUGGAAACGGUAGCUAAUACCGCAUACCAUCGGAUGUGCCCAGAUGGGAUUAGGUAGUAGGUGGGGUAAAGGCUCACCUAGGCGACGAUCCAUAGCUGGUCUGAGCGGAUGAGCAGCCACACUGGGACGGAGACACGGUCCAGACGCCUACGGGAGGAAGCAGUGGGGAAUAUUGCACAAUGGGCGCAAGCCUGAUGCAGCCAUGCCGCGUGUAUGAAGAAGGCCUUAGGGUUGUAAAGUACUUUCGGCGGGGAGGCGUUACCCGCAGAAGAAGCACCGGCUAACUCCGUGCCAGCCGCCGCGGUAAUUC
rnacentral:rRNA from 1 species